rnacentral:rRNA from 1 species
AUUGAACGCUGGCGGCAGGCCUAACGCAUGCAAGUCGAGCGGAUGAAGGGAGCUUGCUCCUGGAUUCAGCGGCGGACGGGUGAGUAAUGCCUAGGAAUCUGCCUGGUAGUGGGGGAUAACGUCCGGAAACGGGCGCUAAUACCGCAUACGUCCUGAGGGAGAAAGUGGGGGAUCUUCGGACCUCACGCUAUCAGAUGAGCCUAGGUCGGAUUAGCUAGUUGGUGGGGUAAAGGCCUACCAAGGCGACGAUCCGUAACUGGUCUGAGAGGAUGAUCAGUCACACUGGAACUGAGACACGGUCCAGACUCCUACGGGAGGCAGCAGUGGGGAAUCUUGGACAAUGGGCGAAAGCCUGAUCCAGCCAUGCCGCGUGUGUGAAGAAGGUCUUCGGAUUGUAAAGCACUUUAAGUUGGGAGGAAGGGCAGUAAGUUAAUACCUUGCUGUUUUGACGUUACCUACAGAAUAAGCACCGGCUAACUUCGUG